CAUGAGUUUUGCUAGGGGUUAGGGUUACAUGUGUUUUGCUAGGGGUUAGGGUUACAUGUGUUUUGCUAGGGGUUAGGGUUACAUGUGUUUUGCUAGGGGUUAGGGUUACAUGUGUUUUGCUAAGGGUUAGGGUUACAUGUGUUUUGCUAGGGGUUAGGGUUACAUGAGUUUUGCUAGGGAGACACAGGAGAGGGAGACACAAGAGAGAGACACAGGAGAGAGACACGGGAGAGAGAGACAGGAGAGAGACAGGAGAGAGAGACAGGAGAGAGACACAGGAGAGAGAGACAGGAGAGAGACACAGGAGAGAGAGACACAGGAGAGAGAGACACAGGAGAGGGACACAGGAAAGAGAGACAGGAGAGAGACACAGGAGAGAGA
rnacentral:lncRNA from 1 species